AGUCCUUACCUGAGUUCAGUGUGUUUCACAUUAAUUUCGAUCUUACAUAAGUAAAUUCGUAAAAGGUAAUUUGAAGUAAUAUGUGUGAUAUUCGUUGUAUGCAUUUGGUGGAAAUCUUGAUUGAUACUUGACAUAUAUUUCGUUUCAAUGUGUAUGUUACGUGUGUCAUAACCUUGUUUUCACUUGCAAUCCACUUGUUGUGUGUGGCACUCAUUGUAUUCGGGUGGAACUCUUGAUAGACAAUUCAUAGCAUACUUAUGGUUUUUGGUCUAUAUGCAGCUAGAAAUAUUAUAUUAUCAUCUGAUGUAUUCAUUUCUUGUUUUGUCUUUGCAUACACGGAUUUCGAGCUUCUUGCUCAGGAGACAGUGACGACAAGGAAGCUUGUGUUGGUUCGAGGGACGGUGACGACAAGAAAGUUCCCUACGCUGGUAUGGGAAACGUUGAGCAAGACUUAAUUGCUUCUGCUAGCGGCAUGGCAGGGGAGGACGUGGUGCGAGUGAAAUGCCGGUGGAAGCCACCACAGCCGCGCCCGGGGAUACGGCACCUAUCUCAAAGAUGAUAUGAUCUGCACGCCUGCGACAUCCUGCACCGUCUACUAGGACUCCGUACAUGAGGGAGAUUGCAAAGAAAGUGAAAAAAUAAAAUCGUACUCAUGACCUGAACAAGUAUCAAAGUGUUGGUCGACAGGUUCUUGUUGUAAUGGGAGUUGGAUCCAAUCGAUGUCCAUGUCAAAGAAAGAGCGACGUUGACAAU